UCUCUUCCUCCGUCGAUUCCCUCUCGCGUCGCUGUGCCACCCUGACCAUGAGACGUUGGCGUCCAGCGCUACGAGCCACUAACGUUGUCGUCUUGUCCAUUGUCGCCUCCCAUUACCGACGCUUGUUUCCCAUCUCAAGCCCUAGCGACCAUCGCUGGGAUCGAGUCCAACGGAUCGCUCCAAGCUGUUGAGCGCCACCCAAACACCACCUGAGAGUUGCAUGUCCAAUACUCUUCUCCCGUUCUCCACCGCUAGCUGAGAUACCUUCUCCUCCUCUAAUCGUCGAGUUCGUCCGAUCAUUGCCCUCUCUGAGUCACUAAUCCUCAUGUGGGUAGAUUUUUGGCCAAGAGGCGAGAUCUGUCCCCUAUCUUCGAUCUCCCAUUGUCACACCUCUACGCAUUAUGUCUCCGACUAUCGGGUUAUGCUUACUCUAGCCGAUCUCUACCUUAGUGUCGGUAUCACCCUAUCUAUUGCCUCAGCUCAUUGCUGCAACGACAACUCGAUUCCAUCUAGGAGAGAUCUUGGAUCUAGUACAGGGUGUAGCUCCGAUGGGGAUUAGAUCAUGGGAGGUUAGUUGCGGUCACCGGAUCUUCUACUCCAGCCAUCUUUCUGCGUCUAGGACCAAGGUUGGACCUCACCUCCUGGUCAGAUGUGAAGCUCCUGGCCAAAAUCCCUCAUACAACAUUGUUCCGGCCAACAACUAUUUUGACCAGAUUUAAGGACUGAUUGAGGUGAGUUUUUGUUCAAUUUUGGAGUUAUUGCAGAGUUGAUUAGUAGGUUAUUCUAAUUUGUUGAGGAGAAGGGGAUGUUGAAGGAAUUUGAGUUUGUUUAUAGAAUGGAAAUCAUCUGUCUGUAUUGUUUUGGUAAUUCAGCUGUCGAUGGUGAUUUGUGGAUUUAGGUAAGUUGUGGUGGUAAUUUCAUAUAUAUGAACUAAAUUUUAUUCUA